AGGGAUGCAGCUCAGUGGUAUAUGGAGCUUCUGCUUGGCAUGCAGAAGGUCUAGGUUCAAUUCCUGGCAUCUCCC